AUGAACGCUGGCGGCGUGCCUAAUACAUGCAAGUCGAGCGAACAGACGAGGAGCUUGCUCCUCUGACGUUAGCGGCGGACGGGUGAGUAACACGUGGAUAACCUACCUAUAAGACUGGGAUAACUUCGGGAAACCGGAGCUAAUACCAGAUAACAUGUUGAACCGCAUGGUUCAACAGUGAAAGACGGUCUUGCUGUCACUUAUAGAUGGAUCCGCGCCGCAUUAGCUAGUUGGUAAGGUAACGGCUUACCAAGGCAACGAUGCGUAGCCGACCUGAGAGGGUGAUCGGCCACACUGGAACUGAGACACGGUCCAGACUCCUACGGGAGGCAGCAGUAGGGAAUCUUCCGCAAUGGGCGAAAGCCUGACGGAGCAACGCCGCGUGAGUGAUGAAGGUCUUCGGAUCGUAAAACUCUGUUAUUAGGGAAGAACAAAUGUGUAAGUAACUAUGCACGUCUUGACGGCACCUAAUCAGAAAGCCACGGCUAACUACGUG
rnacentral:rRNA from 1 species